rnacentral:rRNA from 1 species
AGCGAACGCUGGCGGCAGGCCUAACACAUGCAAGUCGAACGAACUCUUCGGAGUUAGUGGCGGACGGGUGAGUAACACGUGGGAACGUGCCUUUUGGUUCGGAAUAACUCAGGGAAACUUGUGCUAAUACCGAAUGUGCCCUUCGGGGGAAAGAUUUAUCGCCAUUAGAGCGGCCCGCGUCUGAUUAGCUAGUUGGUGAGGUAACGGCUCACCAAGGCGACGAUCAGUAGCUGGUCUGAGAGGAUGACCAGCCACACUGGGACUGAGACACGGCCCAGAAUCCUACGGGAGGCAGCAGUGGGGAAUCUUGCGCAAUGGGGGAAAGCAUGACGCAGCCAUGCCGCGUGAAUGAUGAAGGUCUUAGGAUUGUAAAAUUCUUUCACCGGGGACGAUAAUGACGGUACCCGGAGAAGAAGCCCCGGCUAACUUCGUG